CUAGAGAUCGACAUCCGUCAGCGAGUAUCGCCCACGGGUGUAUUUGU
rnacentral:sRNA from 1 species